UGAGGGAAUAUUUGGGGUCAAUGGGCGCAGGCCUGAACCAGCCAAGUCGCGUGAGGGAGGACGGUCCUACGGAUUGUAAACCUCUUUUGUCGGGGAGUAACGUGCGGGACGCGUCCCGUAUUGAGAGUACCCGAAGAAAGAGCAUCGGCUAACUCCGUGCCAGCAGCCGCGGUAAUACGGAGGAUGCGAGCGUUAUCCGGAUUUAUUGGGUUUAAAGGGUGCGCAGGCGGCGCGCCAAGUCAGCGGUCAAAGUUCCGGGCUCAACCCGGUGUCGCCGUUGAAACUGGCGUGCUCGAGUGCGUGCGAGGAAGGCGGAAUGCGUUGUGUAGCGGUGAAAUGCAUAGAUAUCACGCAGAACUCCGAUCGCGAAGGCAGCUUGCCAAGCCAUAACUGACACUGAAGC
rnacentral:rRNA from 1 species